AUUGAACGCUGGCGGCAGGCCUAACACAUGCAAGUCGAGCGGAGCGGCGGCCGGGUGAGUAAUACCUAGGAAUCUGCCUGGUAGUGGGGGAUAACGUUCGGAAACGGAAGCUAAUACCGCAUACUCUCAGAUGAGCCUAGGUCGGCUUAGCUAGUUGGUGAGGUAAUGGCUCACAAAGGCGACGAUCCGUAACUGGUCUGAGAGGAGGAUCAGUCACACUGGAAAUGAGACACGGUAGAGACUCCUACGGGAGGCAGCAGUGGGGAAUAUUGGACAAGGGGCGAAAGCCUGAGCCAGCCAUGCCGCGUGUGUGAAGAAGGUCUUCGGAUUGUAAAGCACUUUAAGUUGGGAGGCGUUACCGACAGAAUAAGCACCGGCUAACUCGGUGCCAGCAGCCGCGGUAAUUC
rnacentral:rRNA from 1 species